GAGGGUGACCUUUACGGCGCGGUUCUACCUGAUCCCAUCCCGAACUCAGAAGUAAAAAGCGCUCGUGCCGAUGAUACUCCGGUGCAUGCCGGUUGAAAAGUAGGUAGUUGCCCGUU
rnacentral:rRNA from 1 species